rnacentral:lncRNA from 13 species
CACAAAUGAGAAAUUCAGAAGAUGAAGACCAAAACCCAUCAGCUGCCAAACCAGGAGAGAUGUCUACUCUCACCCCAGGCAGCUCUUGGGUGCGAGAAGCCCGAAGCUGUGCCUUUCGCUGGCGAACCUCUGCCCAGAGAUGCUUUCAGAGCCAGAGCCUGCCCACUCCAGGAGGCACAUUGGAGGCAGCAGCUCUGCAUGAGUACCCCGUGCUGCAACACCCCACAGCCAAAGCCAGUGUGCCCCAGCGCUCCGGGCUCCCAGCACCAGCGCCCCGGGCUCCGAGCAUCGUGCGUGCCCUGCCCGAGGGCCAGGAGGGGUGCUCCACCUUCCCUUCACGCACACACCCAGAGCCCUGGCUGCAGAAGUCUUCCCUGCCAGAGCGAUACACAUCGCUUCUUCCAGCUGAGAAAAUAGCAGCGGGUAUUUUGCAGAGCGCACACGCCGCAGCCAGGAACUCCCACAGCAGCACCUGGCUGCAGGAGCAGCGGCGGCCGGCACAGCUCCCACGGCAGCCAGCCCAGCCAGUCUGGGUGGGGACCCCGGCACCCCGCCAGAGCCUGCGGCUGCCGGCACCCCCCGAGCACCUGUGCGGCUCCGGGGCGCUGCUGCCCGGGGGCUGCUGGCCCGGGGACUGAGAGCUGCUGCGGCUCAGUUUGAUGGUUCAUCUUUCAAAGCUCACCCUGGCACACGUGGAUCCUGCUCCGGGGAGGCCAAAUGUGAGAAACCCCCCAGCGCUGGGCAGGCACCCGCUGCAGCUCGGGGCUGUGCCAUGGAGACGCUGUGCAGCUCCCAAGGGGAAGCUGGGGAGCUGGAGAGGAGGGCACCCACCUUGGCUGGCAGGUGGAGAACGGUGCUGUGCUGGCAGUCAUGGGCAGUGCUUGGUGUGGGGCCACCUCUCUCCUCGGCAGCAAGUCACCCCCGCUGCUCACCCCUGCCUCGGUCUCCAGGCCCAGCAGAGUUUUCCUGGCUGGGGUCUCAUGUUCUGCAGGGAAUCCAAAACACUCAUUUGCACCCAAAGGUGUGGGCUGGGUGCUCAGCUCUCAGGUGUGGACAGGCAUUUUUCAGGCACUUCUGUUCAGGUGUUCAGCAUUGAGCCCAACCAUCUCCAGGCUUUACCUGCACUUCCCUCUCCCCAUCAGCAGCACCAACAUGAAGCUGGGCAGGAGCAGUCACCUCUGGAGACAACGCUGAACAUUUCUACACAUGUGAUCCAUCUUCUUCUUGGCUGCAUAGCUCUCAGUGCUGGAAUUGGGGCCCCCACGGUGCCUGCUACCACCAUGGCUCCCACCAGGGCACAUACUGCAGGCUCCUGCACUUGUACUCUGCCACCACAGCCCCGCACGCUGCUGCCCGGCUGGACCACAGCUGGACCCCCUCCCCUGAAGUUCAGGGGUGCUUUCAACCAGAAACAAGGGAUGCAGGUGCUCUGA